GAUGAACGCUAGCGGAAGGCCUAACACAUGCAAGUCGAGCGGUAUUUGGUAGCUUGCUACUAGAGAGAGCGGCGUACGGGUGCGUAACAUGUGUGCAACCUACCCUUAUCAAGGGGAUAGCCAUUCGAAAGGAUGAUUAAUACCCUAUAAUAUAUCAGGUGGCAUCAUUUGAUAUUGAAAGCUACGGUGGAUAAGGAUGGGCACGCACAAGAUUAGCUAGUUGGUAAGGUAACGGCUUACCAAGGCGAUGAUCUUUAGGGGUCCUGAGAGGGAGAUCCCCCACACUGGGACUGAGACACGGCCCAGACUCCUACGGGAGGCAGCAGUGAGGAAUAUUGGACAAUGGGUGGGAGCCUGAUCCAGCCAUUCCGCGUGCAGGAAGAAGGUCUUAUGGAUUGUAAACUGCUUUUAUAUAGGGAUAAACCUACUCUCGAGAGGGUAGCUGAAGGUACUAUAUGAAUAAGCACCGGCUAACUCCGUG
rnacentral:rRNA from 1 species